AAGCCUGCGGCCGCUUCUCUUGUACAGAUCUGCAGCUUCUUCCCUUUCCCGGGCCCCGGGCUAGCCGAGCCGACCGCGGAGCGUCCCUUUCGGCCAAUGAGCCUUAACAAAAGCUCCAGGCUCGCGCAGCUCUGGAGCCCCACGUGGAGCCGCCCAGCCACCUCUGAGUCAAGUCCUCUCGUGAACCGGGGUGCUUCGGAUUCCCGAGCCACUAGCGCAGGGGAUCCCACAAAUCUUUCUCCCCGCUGCGUGCUCCCCACCCGCAGCCACGUGCAGAAAACCAAAUGCCCCCUGGGUAUCUGUGCCCGAAUGCGCGCCGACACACUGGGACCGAGCCCCACGCGGAAAAACACACGCG
rnacentral:lncRNA from 1 species